UGGGGAAUAUUGGACAAUGGGCGAAAGCCUGAUCCAGCCAUGCCGCGUGAGUGAUGAAGGCCCUAGGGUUGUAAAGCUCUUUUGUGCGGGAAGAUAAUGACGGUACCCAAAGAAUAAGCACCGGCUAACUUCGUGCCAGCAGCCGCGGUAAUACGAAGGGUGCAAGCGUUACUCGGAAUUACUGGGCGUAAAGCGUGCGUAGGUGGUUGUUUAAGUCUGUCGUGAAAGCCCUGGGCUCAACCUGGGAAUGGCGAUGGAAACUGGGCGACUAGAGUGUGGCAGAGGGUAGUGGAAUUCCUGGUGUAGCAGUGAAAUGCGUAGAGAUCAGGAGGAACAUCCGUGGCGAAGGCGACUGCCUGGGCCAACACUGACACUGAGGCACGAAAGCGUGGGGAGCAAACA
rnacentral:rRNA from 1 species